rnacentral:rRNA from 1 species
AUACGGAGGGUGCAAGCGUUGUCCGGAUUUAUUGGGUUUAAAGGGUGCGUAGGCGGAUAAAUAAGUCAGUGGUGAAAUACUUCAGCUCAACUGGAGAGGUGCCAUAGAAACUGUAUAUCUUGAGUGAAGUCGAAGUAGGCGGAAUUGAUGGUGUAGCGGUGAAAUGCAUAGAUAUCAUCAAGAACACCGAUAGCGAAGGCAGCUUACUUGGUUUCAACUGACGCUGAUGCACGAAAGCGUGGGGAGCGAACAGGAUUAGAAACCCCGGUAGUCC